GGAGUCGGGGGGUCGACGGGAACCUCCCAUAAAUUGCCGUCAGGGGGCGUUGGUUGGUCGAGCGGACCGAUCCGAACCCAACGCGAGCGCGCCGCGUGCAGCCGGGCAGCUGGAGCCCCCCGGCGCGCCCCUCACCUACAUGUGGGGGGAGCCUCUUCAAUGCCACGCAACGGGCGCCAUUGAAUACCAGCGCAAACCCCGUAGCGGGGGAGGCGCCAUUGCCGCUGCCGAUCGUCGCUCGUCGGUACGCUACCCGUACCAAAUGCGUCCAGUGCAGCUUCGCAGGCCCCGUCUGUCUUUGCCCGAACCGUGCA
rnacentral:lncRNA from 1 species